UGCUUUAAUAGUACUUUCACACCCCAUAAAAUGUUCAACACCGGCUUGGAGUGGCGAACUUUAAGCAUCAAAAUUCAAUCUUCGUCAUAUUCACCGAACGCUCACGCUGGCAACAAGGCCUCAUUUGCAAUAUCCUCAAACAACCCAACUCUACCCUAGCAAUUCAUUCAGUAAAGGUUUAUUGAAUAUUUGUAGUCUGUCUCCUGGAAUAUUUUAUUUGGUUUUGAAGAAUUAACAACAACAAUGGUUGUGCAAGGGACACUCUCUAAUGGACUGACAAGUAGAUGUAGUGAAUGGAACACAAUUAGGACUUCCACAAGGUCAUUUUGUUCAGGACAGGCGCAGGGAAUUACCAAUUUUGCUGUAUUAGCUGAUAGGAAGAAGUUGAGAUAUGGAGACGUUCUUCAGCAUUGCAAUCUUUAUGCAAACAACAAGUGGUGGCCGUUAUCUUUACCGGUUACUCGUUGCAGGAAGCGGGUUUCUUCUGUGGUCCAUGGCCAGUUGAGUUCUGAUUGUGGAGUGGAUGCAUUUGAUUUGGAGCAGAGUUCUGCCACUGAAGGAGAACAUGAUCUUGCAAGUUCAAGUGAAGGACUUCUUGAGUUGUCAGGGAAUCCUGCUAGCCAAUCACAUUCUCAGGGAGUGAAGCAUGAGCUUGUAAUGCUCACUUUGCCUGCAAUUGUUGGACAAGCUAUUGAACCAUUGACACAACUGAUGGAGACAGCAUAUAUUGGUAGAUUGGGUGCUCUGGAGUUAGCUUCUGCUGGUGUUUCCAUAUCGAUCUUCAACAUUAUAUCAAAGCUAUUUAAUAUUCCUCUUCUCAGUGUUGCUACUUCUUUUGUUGCUGAGGACAUUUCAAAAAAUGCAAGCAGAUUUUCCUCUCUUGAGGAGGAUCAUGAAAGUACCAAUGGUAAACCUUUCAAUGGGGUAGCUGAAAAACUGGAACUGUCCUCUGUGUCUACAGCAUUACUUUUAGCAUGUGGCAUUGGCAUCUUUGAGGCUUUAGCUCUGUUUUUGGGAUCUGGUCUGUUACUUAACUUGAUGGGCAUAUCAUCGGCUUCCCCCAUGCACUCUCUGGCACGGAGAUUUCUUUCUCUUCGAGCCCUCGGUGCUCCCGCAGUUGUAGUUUCUUUGGCCCUUCAAGGCAUUUUUCGCGGCUUUAAGGAUACAAAAACUCCUGUAUAUUGUCUUGGUAUUGGUAAUUUUUCAGCUAUACUUUUGUUUCCCUUACUCAUGUAUCAUUUCCAAUUGGGUGUGACUGGAGCUGCAAUUUCUUCUGUUUUAUCUCAAUAUAUUAUUACCUUUUUGAUGACCUGGCAUCUUAACAAGAGAGCUGUAUUAUUGCCUCCAAAGUUUGGAUCAUUGCAAUUUGGUGGUUAUAUAAAAAAUGGUGGUUUUCUUCUUGGGAGAACUCUUGCUGUGCUUAUUACCAUGACACUUGGGACAUCAAUGGCUGCUCGGCAAGGUCCAACGGCUAUGGCUGCUCAUCAAAUAUGCUUACAAGUUUGGUUGGCUGUAUCUCUCCUCACAGAUGCACUGGCGGCAUCUGGUCAGGCCCUGGUAGCAAGUUCUUUCUCAAAAGGUGAUUACAGAACUGUGAAAGAAAUCACUUACUUUGUAUUAAAGAUAGGAUUACUGACAGGUGUUUUCUUGGCUGCGGUUUUAAGUGCGUCUUUUGGUUCUAUAGCGACCUUGUUUACGAAGGAUAUAGAAGUCUUAGGAGUUGUUAGAAAGGGGUUAUUGUUUGUUAGUGCUAGUCAACCUAUAAAUGCUCUAGCAUUUAUUUUCGAUGGUCUCCAUUAUGGUGUUUCAGACUUCCCAUAUGCAGCUCAUUCUAUGAUGGUGGUGGGAGCAAUUUCCUCUGUGUUUCUUCUGUAUGCUUCUUCGAAUUUUGGGCUUCGUGGUGUUUGGUUGGGCUUGGCUCUCUUUAUGGGAUUGCGUAUGGUGGCAGGAUUUAUCAGAUUAUCUUUGAGAACUGGUCCAUGGUGGUUUCUUCAUGAUGGGGAAUUGUAGAGAACCAAGGAGAAUGAUGGAGCUAAAUCUCUUGGGAAUUCUACAAAGGCAAUAUAUGAGCAAGAUGCAAGAUCUGCAAGGAUGUUUCAAAGAAAAUGCUGGGCAUUAAGUUUCAGCCUUUGUACAGGUCCGUCAAUCCAAAGAAAGCAUUUUGGUAAAGAGUCCAAAAGCUUGGAUGCCGCUUCCUUUAUACAAAUGGAAAUCCUAGUUUUCAAUUCUUGAAGAAUCUUCAACAAUAAGCAAGUGAAAGCAAAGGGGUUUUUCUGUAGUAUCCUUACCAUAAAAGCUCUUACCCUCAAGAAUCCAGAAAGAAUUUGCAACAUCGUCUGUUUUCAGUUAAGGUGCAAAAUCUGCAACAUGAGCCACUAUAAGCAUGACUUAAAGGCCGUCUGACUUAUUUAGAUUGUACCGAAGAUGAAUGGGGAUUGUUAGAUUCGCGCUUAGGCUGAAGAGUCGGUGUUGCAGGAUUUAUUUUAUUUAUUUUGGAGAAUUUUUGUGUAUUUUUGAGGAAAUUGACUUUGUAUAAAAGAGGGUAUUUUUUUUUUUUUAUUUUUUAUUCUGGGUGUAUUUUGAUGUAUUUGGAUUUGAAUAAAUCGAGGAUUUUAUUUGAA